UAGGGAAUCUUCGGCAAUGGACGAAAGUCUGACCGAGCAACGCCGCGUGAGUGAAGAAGUUUUUCGGAUCGUACAACUCUGUUGUUCGAGAAGAACAAGGACGUUAGUAACUGAACGUCCCCUGACGGUAUCUAACCAGAAAGCCACGGCUAACUACGUGCCAGCAGCCGCGGUAAUACGUAGGUGGCAAGCGUUGUCCGGAUUUAUUGGGCGUAAAGCGAGCGCAGGCGGUUUCUUAAGUCUGAUGUGAAAGCCCCCGGCUCAACCGGGGGGGGUCAUUGGAAACUGGGGGACUUGAGUGCAGAGGAGGAGAGUGGAAUUCGAUGUGUAGCGGUGAAAUGCGUAGAUAUAUGGAGGAAAACCAGUGGCGAAGGCGGCUCUCUGGUCUGUAACUGACGCUGAGGCUCGAAAGCGUGGGGAGCAAACAGG
rnacentral:rRNA from 1 species